UACGUAGGGUGCGAGCGUAAUCGGAAUUACUGGGCGUAAAGCGUGCGCAGGCGGUUCUGAAAGUCAGCUGUGAAAGCCCCGGGCUUAACCUGGGAAUGGCGGUUGAAACUACAGGACUAGAAUCUGGCAGAGGGGGUGGAAUUCCACGUGUAGCAGUGAAAUGCGUAGAGAUGCGGAGGAACACCGAUGGCGAAGGCAGCCCCCUGGGCUAACACUGACGCUCAGGCACGAAAGCGUGGGGAGCAAACAGG
rnacentral:rRNA from 1 species